rnacentral:rRNA from 1 species
GAUGAACGCUGGCGGCGUGCUUAACACACGCAAGUCGAACGAAGCAUUUGCGACAGAUUUUUUCGGAAUGAAGUUGCUUAUGACUGAGUGGCGGACGGGUGAGUAACGCGUGGGUAACCUGCCUUGUGCUGGGGGAUAGCAGCUGGAAACGGCUGGUAAUACCGCAUAAGCGCACAAUGUUGCAUGACAUGGUGUGAAAAACUCCGGUGGUAUAAGAUGGACCCGCGUCUGAUUAGCUAGUUGGUGAGAUAACAGCCCACCAAGGCGACGAUCAGUAGCCGACCUGAGAGGGUGACCGGCCACAUUGGGACUGAGACACGGCCCAGACUCCUACGGGAGGCAGCAGUGGGGAAUAUUGCACAAUGGAGGAAACUCUGAUGCAGCGACGCCGCGUGAGUGAAGAAGUAAUUCGUUAUGUAAAGCUCUAUCAGCAGGGAAGAUAGUGACGGUACCUGACGAAGAAGCUCCGGCUAAAUACGUG